GGGUUGUGAGGUUAAGUGACUAAGCGUACACGGUGGAUGCCUAGGCAGUCAGAGGCGAUGAAGGGCGUGCUAAUCUGCGAAAAGCGUCGGUAAGGUGAUAUGAACCGUUACAACCGGCGAUACCCGAAUGGGGAAACCCAGUGUGUUUCGACACACUAUCAUGUCAUGAAUACAUAGUGGCAUGAGGCGAACCGGGGGAACUGAAACAUCUAAGUACCCCGAGGAAAAGAAAUCAACCGAGAUUCCCCCAGUAGCGGCGAGCGAACGGGGAGGAGCCCAGAACCUGAAUCGGCUUGUGUGUUAGUGGAAGCGUCUGGAAAGUCGCGCAGUAAAGGGUGAUAGCCCCGUACACUAAAAUGCACAGGUCGUGAGUUCGAUGAGUAGGGCGGGACACGUGACAUCCUGUCUGAAUAUGGGGGGACCAUCCUCCAAGGCUAAAUACUCCUGACUGACCGAUAGUGAACCAGUACCGUGAGGGAAAGGCGAAAAGAACCCCGGCGAGGGGAGUGAAAUAGAACCUGAAACCGUGUACGUACAAGCAGUGGGAGCACCUUCGUGGUGUGACUGCGUACCUUUUGUAUAAUGGGUCAGCGACUUAUAUUUUGUAGCAAGGUUAACCGUAUAGGGGAGCCGUAGGGAAACCGAGUCUUAACUGGGCGAAUAGUUGCAAGGUAUAGACCCGAAACCCGGUGAUCUAGCCAUGGGCAGGUUGAAGGUUGGGUAACACUAACUGGAGGACCGAACCGACUAAUGUUGAAAAAUUAGCGGAUGACUUGUGGCUGGGGGUGAAAGGCCAAUCAAACCGGGAGAUAGCUGGUUCUCCCCGAAAGCUAUUUAGGUAGCGCCUCGUGAACUCAUCUUCGGGGGUAGAGCACUGUUUCGGCUAGGGGGCCAUCCCGGCUUACCAAACCGAUGCAAACUCCGAAUACCGAAGAAUGUUAUCACGGGAGACACACGGCGGGUGCUAACGUCCGUCGUGAAGAGGGAAACAACCCAGACCGCCAGCUAAGGUCCCAAAGUCAUGGUUAAGUGGGAAACGAUGUGGGAAGGCAUAGACAGCCAGGAUGUUGGCUUAGAAGCAGCCAUCAUUUAAAGAAAGCGUAAUAGCUCACUGGUCGAGUCGGCCUGCGCGGAAGAUGUAACGGGGCUAAACCAUGCACCGAAGCUGCGGCAGCGACGCUUAGGCGUUGUUGGGUAGGGGAGCGUUCUGUAAGCCGUUGAAGGUGGCCUGUGAGGGUUGCUGGAGGUAUCAGAAGUGCGAAUGCUGACAUAAGUAACGAUAAAGCGGGUGAAAAGCCCGCUCGCCGGAAGACCAAGGGUUCCUGUCCAACGUUAAUCGGGGCAGGGUGAGUCGACCCCUAAGGCGAGGCUGAAAAGCGUAGUCGAUGGGAAACAGGUUAAUAUUCCUGUACUUGGUGUUACUGCGAAGGGGGGGACGGAGAAGGCUAGGCUAGCCGGGCGACGGUUGUCCCGGUUUAAGCGUGUAGGGGGUGUGACCUGGUAAAUCCGGUUGCAUAUCAACCCUGAGGCGUGAUGACGAUGCACUACGGUGCAGAAGUAGUUGAUGCCCUGCUUCCAGGAAAAGCCUCUAAGCUCCAGGUAACAUUAAAUCGUACCCCAAACCGACACAGGUGGUCAGGUAGAGAAUACCAAGGCGCUUGAGAGAACUCGGGUGAAGGAACUAGGCAAAAUGGUGCCGUAACUUCGGGAGAAGGCACGCUGGCAUGUAGGUGAAGUCCCUUGCGGAUGGAGCUGAAGCCAGUCGAAGAUACCAGCUGGCUGCAACUGUUUAAUAAAAACACAGCACUGUGCAAACACGAAAGUGGACGUAUACGGUGUGACGCCUGCCCGGUGCUGGAAGGUUAAUUGAUGGGGUCAGCCGCAAGGCGAAGCUCUUGAUCGAAGCCCCAGUAAACGGCGGCCGUAACUAUAACGGUCCUAAGGUAGCGAAAUUCCUUGUCGGGUAAGUUCCGACCUGCACGAAUGGCGUAAUGAUGGCCAGGCUGUCUCCACCCGAGACUCAGUGAAAUUGAACUCGCUGUGAAGAUGCAGUGUACCCGCGGCAAGACGGAAAGACCCCGUGAACCUUUACUAUAGCUUGACACUGAACAUUGAGCCUUGAUGUGUAGGAUAGGUGGGAGGCUUUGAAGCGUGGACGCCAGUCUGCGUGGAGCCAUCCUUGAAAUACCACCCUUUAAUGUUUGAUGUUCUAACUCGGCCCCAUAAUCUGGGGUGAGGACAGUGUCUGGUGGGUAGUUUGACUGGGGCGGUCUCCUCCCAAAGAGUAACGGAGGAGCACGAAGGUUAGCUAAUCACGGUCGGACAUCGUGAGGUUAGUGCAAAGGCAUAAGCUAGCUUGACUGCGAGAGUGACGGCUCGAGCAGGUACGAAAGUAGGUCUUAGUGAUCCGGUGGUUCUGAAUGGAAGGGCCAUCGCUCAACGGAUAAAAGGUACUCCGGGGAUAACAGGCUGAUACCGCCCAAGAGUUCAUAUCGACGGCGGUGUUUGGCACCUCGAUGUCGGCUCAUCACAUCCUGGGGCUGAAGUAGGUCCCAAGGGUAUGGCUGUUCGCCAUUUAAAGUGGUACGCGAGCUGGGUUUAGAACGUCGUGAGACAGUUCGGUCCCUAUCUGCCGUGGGCGUUGGAAGAUUGAGAGGGGUUGCUCCUAGUACGAGAGGACCGGAGUGAACGCACCACUGGUGUUCGGGUUGUCAUGCCAAUGGCAUUGCCCGGUAGCUAAGUGCGGAAAAGAUAAGCGCUGAAAGCAUCUAAGCGCGAAACUUGCCUCAAGAUGAGUCUUCCCUGGGCCUUUAAGGCCCCUGAAGGAACGUUUAAGACUAAGACGUUGAUAGGCUGGGUGUGUAAGUGCAGCGAUGCAUUGAGCUAACCAGUACUAAUGAUCCGUGAGGCUUAACCUUACAACACCGAAGGUGUUU
rnacentral:rRNA from 1 species